GUUGUACCAGGUGCUUUGGGGAGUUUUCAAAAAAAAAGGAAAGUCACGUGGUUUGCUUCUUCUCUUUCUAUGGCCUCUACACAAACGUAAAACACAAAACCACUUCAGACUUCUAGAGAGAGAGAGACUCGAGAGCCAGAGUGAGAUGGCCGGCCGGCUGCCACCAUGGGCGGCGGAGUGAGGGUGGACAGCGGCGACAAUUAUUGGUAUUGUUUGGGUGGUUAGUGACGGCGAUGUUUCGGUGAUAGAAGGGUGUGGGGUGCGGCUGGAUAGGAGACGGUGGUGGUUGUUUUGGGGAUGGCGGACGGAGACGAUGACGGAACCACCACAGGCGGUGACGUCGACGCUAUGGUGGUGGUGUUCGGCGACUGGAAUGGGGUAGGGGGAGGCAUUCCGUGGCUUUCGCUAAAUGCAGUUUCCCGUACUUUUAUGGAGCGUAAUUUGUCUCGAAUGGGCUUAUCAUUAAGCUGAGUACUUUCCUUCUUUUUGGAUCUGGCCAGGUACUUUGUGCUUGAUGGCGUAGUUAUUAUGUGGAUUAUUGAGGCCGGUUGGUGGUUUUGAUAUGUUGGUCGUGUUGCUGGGGUAUGUUCUUCCUUUUUUUUUUUGGUUAUUUUGGAUUGUUAUUUAACCUUUUUGUCUGUAAAGCUCCAGUUUAAAUUUGUUGUUGUCCGCGCUGAUAUGGCAUUGUAAUUUGGGUUCGAUUGCUUUGGAUGUUGUGUUAGCUGUGUGGUUGAUGUUUUUAGAUGAGAAUGUUUGUCUUUCGUAUGUGAAUAUUUGGUUGUUAUGACUUGGAGUCUUAGCGGAUAAGAAGUUUAUGUUUUUGUUU